rnacentral:sRNA from 1 species
GCUGGACAUGGUGGCGCAUGCCUGUAAUCUCAGUGGCUUGGGAGGCUGAGGCAGGAUGAUCGCCAGUUCAAAGCCAGCCUCAGCAAAAUUGAAGCACUUAGCAACUCAGUGAGACCCUGUCUCUA